UACGUAGGGUGCGAGCGUUGUCCGGAAUUAUUGGGCGUAAAGAGCUCGUAGGCGGUGUGUCACGUCGGCCGUGAAAACCUGCAGCUUAACUGUGGGCGUGCGGUCGAUACGGGCAUCACUGGAGUUCGGCAGGGGAGACUGGAAUUCCUGGUGUAGCGGUGAAAUGCGCAGAUAUCAGGAGGAACACCGGUCGCGAAGGCGGGUCUCUGGGCCGAUACUGACGCUGAGGAGCGAAAGCGUGGGGAGCGAACAGG
rnacentral:rRNA from 1 species